GUUAGUGGCGAAAGGGUGAGGAAUAGAUAGGAACGUACCCUGUGCUCUGGGAGAGCGGGUGAAGCUUCGGCUUCUUCCGAAAGGGGCGGUAAUACCAGAUAAUGUCCUUCGGGACCAAAGAUUUAUCGGCAUUGGAGCGGCCUAUCUCCUAUCAGCUUGUUGGUGAGGUAACGGCUCACCAAGGCAACGACGGGUAGCGGGACUGACAGGUUGGCCCGCCACAUCGGGACUGAGACACUGCCCGGAGGCUCCACGGAGGGCUGCAGUAACGGAUAUUGGGCAAUGGGCGAAAGCCUGACCCAGCAAUGCCGCGUGCAGGAUGAAGCCCCUAGGGGUGUAAACUGCUGUCAGGGGUCAGACAGCUGGUUUCGGCCAGUUGAUCAAGCCCAGAGGAAGUCACGGCUAACUUCGUGCCAGCAGCCGCGGUCCUACGAACCGUGGCACGCGUUAUUCGGACUCAUCGGGCUUACCGCGCGCACGCAGGCGGAACAGUGUGUGUCGUGUGAGAUCCCCCGGCUU
rnacentral:rRNA from 1 species